rnacentral:rRNA from 1 species
CAGUAGCCACGGUAAUACGUAGGUGGCAAGCGUUGUCCGGAAUUAUUGGGCGUAAAGGGCUCGCAGGCGGUUUCUUAAGUCUGAUGUGAAAGCCCCCGGCUCAACCGGGGAGGGUCAUUGGAAACUGGGAAACUUGAGUGCAGAAGAGGAGAGUGGAAUUCCACGUGUAGCGGUGAAAUGCGUAGGGAUGUGGAGGAACACCAGUGGCGAAGGCGACUCUCUGGUCUGUAACUGACGCUGAGGAGCGAAAGCGUGGGGAGCGAACAGGAUUAGAUACCCCCGUAGUCCCUGUCUCUUAUAC